UACGUAGGGUGCGAGCGUUAAUCGGAAUUACUGGGCGUAAAGCGUGCGCAGGCGGUUUGCUAAGACCGAUGUGAAAUCCCCGGGCUUAACCUGGGAACUGCAUUGGUGACUGGCAGGCUAGAGUAUGGCAGAGGGGGGUAGAAUUCCACGUGUAGCAGUGAAAUGCGUAGAGAUGUGGAGGAAUACCGAUGGCGAAGGCAGCCCCGUGGGCCAAUACUGACGCUCAUGCACGAAAGCGUGGGGAGCAAACAGG
rnacentral:rRNA from 1 species